AAUCAACGCUGGCGGCGCGCCUAACACAUGCAAGUCGAACGAGAAAGCCGCAAGGCAAGUAAAGUGGCGUACGGGUGAGUAACACGUGGAUAAUCUGCCCUCUAGUGGGAAGUACCGUUGGGAACCGACGACAAUACCGCAUAAGCUCGAGAGAGGAAAGACAGCAAUGCGCUGGAGGAGGAGUCCGCGGUCGAUUAGUUAGUUGGC
rnacentral:rRNA from 1 species